rnacentral:rRNA from 1 species
GAUGAACGCUGGCGGCGUGCUUAACACAUGCAAGUCGAACGGACAGGCCCGACGUUUGUGUGUUGGAUGAGUGGCGAACGGGUGAGUAACACGUGAGUAACCUGCCCCUGACUGUGGGAUAACUUCUGGAAACUGCGGCUAAUACCGGAUAUGAGAUCUUGAUGCAUGGUGUGCGUUGGAAAAAGACGGCGGUUGGGGAUGGACUCGCGGCUUAUCAGCUUGUUGGUGUGGUAGUGGCUGACCAAGGCUUCGACGGGUAGCCGGCCUGGGAGGGUGACCGGCCACAAUGGGACUGAGAGACGGCCCAGACUCCUACGGGAGGCAGCAGUGGGGAAUAUUGCACAAUGGGCGGAAGCCUGAUGCAGCAACGCCGCGUGCGGGAUGACGGCCUUCGGGUUGUAAACCGCUUUCGCCUGUGACGAAGCGAGAGUGACGGUACCUGGUAAAAAAGCACCGGCUAACUACGUG